rnacentral:rRNA from 1 species
GUCUUGUAAUUGGAAUGAUGGUGACCUAAACCCUCACCAGAGUAACAAUUGGAGGGCAAGUCUGGUGCCAGCAGCCGCGGUAAUUCCAGCUCCAAUAGCGUAUAUUAAACUUGUUGCAGUUAAAAAGCUCGUAGUUGAAUUUCUGCGUUAUCGAGUUAUUGACUCUUGUCUUUAAUCGAUUUCGCUUUUGGGAUUUAUCCCUUUUUACUUUGAGAAAAUUAAGUGUUUCAAGCAGACUUUUGUCUUGAAUACUUCAGCAUGGAAUAAUAGAGUAGGACUUUGGUUCUAUUUUGUUGGUUUUUGAACCUUAGUAAUGGUUAAUAGGAACGGUUGGGGGCAUUCGUAUUUAACUGUCAGAGGUGAAAUUCUUAGAUUUGUUAAAGACGAACUACUGCGAAAGCAUUUGCCAAGGACGUUUCCAUAAUCAAGAACGAAAGUUAGGGGAUCGAAGACGAUCAGAUCCGUCGUAGUCCUAACCAUAAAC